GAGUUUGAUCCUGGCUCAGAUUGAACGCUGGCGGAAUGCUUUACACAUGCAAGUCGAGCGGCAGCGCGGGGCAACCUGGCGGCGAGCGGCGAACGGGUGAGUAAUGCAUCGGAACAUGUCCAUGUCGUGGGGGAUAGCCCGGCGAAAGCCGGAUUAAUACCGCAUACGCCCGAGAGGGGAAAGUGGGGGACCGCAAGGCCUCACGCGAUUGGGUUGGCCGAUGUCCGAUUAGCUAGUUGGCGGGGUAAAGGCCCACCAAGGCGAUGAUCGGUAGCUGGUCUGAGAGGAUGAUCAGCCACACUGGGACUGAGACACGGCCCAGACUCCUACGGGAGGCAGCAGUGGGGAAUUUUGGACAAUGGGGGAAACCCUGAUCCAGCCAUUCCGCGUGAGUGAAGAAGGCCUUCGGUUGUAAG
rnacentral:rRNA from 1 species